AACGAACGCUGGCGGCGUGCUUAACACAUGCAAGUCGAACGAGAAAGUUUCCUUCGGGGAACUAGUAAAGUGGCGCAAGGGUGAGUAACACGUGAAUAAUCUGCCCCCGAGAUCGGGAUAACUUGGCGAAAGCUAGGCUAAUACCGGAUAAGACCACAUUUUAUAAGAAAAUGCGGCAAAAAGAAGCCUCAACCUUCACUCGGGGAUGAGUUCGCGGACCAUUAGCUUGUUGGUGAGAUAAUAGCUCACCAAGGCUUCGAUGGUUAGCCGGCCUGAGAGGGCGAUCGGCCACACUGGAACUGAGACACGGUCCAGACUCCUACGGGAGGCAGCAGUGGGGAAUAUUGCGCAAUGGGCGAAAGCCUGACGCAGCAACGCCGCGUGAGUGAUG
rnacentral:rRNA from 1 species